rnacentral:rRNA from 1 species
AACGAACGCUGGCGGCAUGCCUAACACAUGCAAGUCGAACGAGACCUUCGGGUCUAGUGGCGCACGGGUGCGUAACGCGUGGGAACCUGCCCUUAGGUUCGGAAUAACUCCCCGAAAGGGGUGCUAAUACCGGAUAAUGUCUUCGGACCAAACAUUUAUCGCCUUUGGAUGGGCCCGCGUUGGAUUAGCUAGUUGGUAGGGUAAAAGCCUACCAAGGCGACGAUCCAUAGCUGGUCUGAGAGGAUGAUCAGCCACACUGGGACUGAGACACGGCCCAGACUCCUACGGGAGGCAGCAGUGGGGAAUAUUGGACAAUGGGCGAAAGCCUGAUCCAGCAAUGCCGCGUGAGUGAUGAAGGCCUUAGGGUUGUAAAGCUCUUUUACCCGGGAUGAUAAUGACAGUACCGGGAGAAUAAGCUCCGGCUAACUCCGUG